GAUGAACGCUGACAGAAUGCUUAACACAUGCAAGUCCACUUGAACUUCGGUUUGGGUGGCGGACGGGUGAGUAACGCGUACAGAACUUGCCUCACAGCUAGGGACAACAUUUGGAAACGAAUGCUAAUACCUGAUAUUAUGAUUAUAUGGCAUCGUAUAAUUAUGAAAGCUAUAUGCGCUGUGAGAGAGCUUUGCGUCCCAUUAGCUAGUUGGAGAGGUAACAGCUCACCAAGGCGAUGAUGGGUAGCCGGCCUGAGAGGGUGAUCGGCCACAAGGGGACUGAGACACGGCCCUUACUCCUACGGGAGGCAGCAGUGGGGAAUAUUGGACAAUGGACCGAGAGUCUGAUCCAGCAAUUCUGUGUGCACGAUGAAGUUUUUCGGAAUGUAAAGUGCUUUCAGUUGGGAAGAAAAAAAUGACGGUACCAACAGAAGAAGUGACGGCUAAAUACGUG
rnacentral:rRNA from 1 species